rnacentral:lncRNA from 1 species
GCAUAGUGGAGAUGGCGAGUCUGAAUAGCUGUUGUCAUCUGUAAACUCCGAAAAUGCAGAGAUUUCAGAGUAUGUUCUCCUGUACCAGAAAGAAUCUGCUCUGAUUGUUGAAUAAACAGCAGUUUCUGUAGGUGAAUCAUCACUUUGAUCAACUGAAGCUGGGGAUUGCUGAUAACCCAAAUCGCGAUUUUCAUCACUCUCAGCUUUUGAUUCCAUCUUGAAGCUGGGGAAAUAAACAAACAUCAUAUAUGCAUGUGAACACUUAAAAGAUGAAAAUGAUCAAGAAUCACCUAGGUUACAUCUUUACAAAAAAUGACAUUCCGGGAAUGUCAUUAAAUAUUAAUUCAAUCCACUAAAGAAUUAAUAUUUGCACUACAUUUCCUAAUUCCGUAAAUUAAUUAUUUAAUUCGGCUCCCAUAUUAAUUGCUUAUAAAUUCCCCAUGUUUAAGAUAUCGCAUGUCCAUUAAUUAAAUUAAUUUCUGACAAUUAAUUUAAUCAAUAUCUUUUAUCCUUGAUCAUCCACUCAACCUUAUAAUUAUGCAAGAACAAAUCUGCCUGCAGGACUAAAGCAUAAUUAUCUUUAUGAGCUUUCAAGAGGACAUCAUCACCCGAAUAUAUUUUUCGGACACGGUUUCCUUUUAUAGUCAAUAUCCCACUCUGUAUAUAAUGUCAUUGCCCAAUACAUAAAUUCGUAAUUACACAAGGAACUGGCAGCCACCACUUUCCCUCUUUACGCUGAGGCUGAGGAAUGAUCCUCCUGAAUGAUCCUGAGCGCACUGAAUUCCCUGAAAUACUACCUUGUUCUGCAUACCAAAAUUCUGUAUUUGUAAAACUUUCAAGAACCUCCUGUACAGAAGAACACAGGAACACUGAGUUAAAAGAAACAAAAAUGUUUAGGUAUCGAGCCCUAAAACCACGAGUGAGCUCAAAAAUUGUUUUGAUAAGCUGUUGAAGAUUUUCUUACAAUUAGCAUUGCAUCAAGUUUUCUCAAUGCUGGAAGGUUGAUGUUAAUAUCGGAUCGUGGUGUAUUGGUCAUAAUCUAAACAAAAAUUGUAAAAAUUGCAUUAGAAUAAGAAAAAGGUUAUAAAAUAAUAUAGGUAAUAGCUGAGAAUUUUUUACCUCAACAACUGUUUCAUCUUUUAAAUUUUGUGAUGCUGGGAUAAACUCUACUAUGUAAUCACAUACAGAUAAAAGGCAAUUCAUCUCUCUUUUCCACAUCAAUUCCUUCUCUGAAUGAAGUGGCUCCAAUUUUAGGUGCUGGCCAUAUACAGAAGCUAGAGUGUACACACAUCAGACAAUGAGAUAAAAUCCUCAAAAAGGAACUUUUUAUAAUAUUCUAAACAUUGCUGUGUUUUGCGAGUUUACCAUAAAGAUUUGUUAUAGCAUUAGACAAUGUGACUGUUGUGCAAACUCCUUUACCACUUCCUGACAUGUCCUCACCCAGCAAGAGCUUUGAAAAUCUUUCCUUCAUCAUUAUAAGUUCUGUUAACAUUUCGAAAAUUAUUAGCUGACCUAUAGAGUAUUUCACACACAGGAAAAUCUUAUAUUGCGGACAGAUAAUACAGGCAAAUAUAAAAGUAAUAUUUUUUAGCUAUGCAAGUUAAUACUCCACAAAAGAUAACUAAUAUCUUACUGCAAGAAUUGGUUAUUUUAAUUAAAAAUAAAUGAAUUGAUCGCUAAUCUCUUAAGUUAACAAGCUAGCAAAAAAAUUAUAAUAACAAUUACAAUAACAAAUUGUGUUGAAAGAAUCUUUAUACAUAUCUAAUGAUUUACCAGAAAAAAAAAUUAAACAUUGUGAAUUAGAUAGAUGAACGGGGGAAAGCCUACUUACUAGAGAUCGAUGGUUUGAGCCUCAGUGGAGGGCUGAAUGGGUAUUGAUAACAAGGAACAAGGGUCUUAAAAGAACAUAUAUAGCAAUCAUCAGACUGGAAGGACUUUUAAAUAGAAGGAAUGCAUUCACAAGGUUUAAACCUUGGUCAAAUUCUAAACCACCACUAUAAGAAAUUUAAAAAACAUUAAUUAUAAGAAAGGUAUCAACUAGUAUGCAACAAGAAGCAUGAACAAAUAUACAAAGAGAACCAGAUUCAAAUUCAUAACCAAAGAUUUUUUGCCAUUAAGCUAUCCACAAAUCUACAUGACAUUCAUCCAAAUCAUUUCCAAACACGACGAUAUAUUACAAAAGCACCCUACAUUCCCACUAGUAGCCAACGGCAAAAACUGAAAAUAACCUGAAAUCGACAACCCUAAAACUCCUGAGAAGCAGAGCCAAUGUCCCUUUGUAAAAAAUACUAUAAGGUUUUACUAGAAAAACCUCUGGCCAUUGUUAGACAGAGGGGGACUUUAAAGAAGCCUCCAUUAUAAGAGAUUUACUAUUAGCAAGUUUCAGCCGUUGCUUAUGUAGAUUAUAGAUAAAAGAUAUCAAGAUUCUAGACAGUUGAAACAACUGAUCCUUAGAUAUGCAGGCAGGUUAAGGUAAUCCUAAAGGCAGGAACCGAAAGAACAUUGUAUACUAUAAUUACCUUUAUCUACUGGCUCCUGAUUCUCAAGAGUAUCAUCCAUGCCAAGUUUGUUUUGUUGCAUUCCUAGUCUUCUGAGUACAGGCUGCUUAGGUGAUUUCAGAGCUGGCCAGCAUAGUGGAGAUGGCGAGUCUGAAUAGCUGUUGUCAUCUGUAAACUCCGAAAAUGCAGAGAUUUCAGAGUAUGUUCUCCUGUACCAGAAAGAAUCUGCUCUGAUUGUUGAAUAAACAGCAGUUUCUGUAGGUGAAUCAUCACUUUGAUCAACUGAAGCUGGGGAUUGCUGAUAACCCAAAUCGCGAUUUUCAUCACUCUCAGCUUUUGAUUCCAUCUUGAAGCUGGGGAAAUAAAC